UAUUGAUUGGAUUCUUAUUGGGUUAUUAGCCUGUUUGACUGGUCAGUUGAAUUGAAUGUGUUUAAUCCAAACGUCAGUAACUUAAAUACAGGUCUAUAAAUAAUAGUAAUUUGAGUCUAACAAUUAUUUGAAUUAAUUGAUUGAAUCUUUUGUGAAUAGAAAGUGCGGGAAUAAAAAGCUCUCUGGAUUGUAAUAAUUAAAUGUAUUAUUGCUAAAAAUAUUAUUCAACACGUUUAAAUAAUGAGCCUCAUAUUAUAUAGUUCGUAAAAUAAAUCUGUACUGAAAGGGUCUGCUUGGCAAAUGCUCACACAGGUCGAGUCAAGAUAAGGACCGGAUCUGUUUACUGGAUAUUAAGCAAGUUAAACUCAGUGUCUUUAAUAUUUUCCAAAACUAUGUUGCCAUACUCUGAAUGCAUAAGUGUGCACUUACAUAAUGUGCCAUGUGUACGGUAUUUUGUUGUUUUGUUUUUUUAUACAACUUUCACAGUUUUGACUAGUGGAUGCCAUGGUCAUUAUAGUUAUUAACCUGGAUAUAUCAAAACCGGACUCAUCAUUUCAUUUGGUACAGGAAUACGAAUAUGAAGGCCUGGUUAUGGGGAACUUUUAAUCUGUGCCAUACUUUGGCCAUAUCUACAGGAUGUAAGCAAUUCUAUGCAACCUAAAUGCAUCUGGUAUAUCAACUAUUUAUGUGUCAGAGAAAGCAUUAUGAAUAAGAACUCUUUUUUAUAUUUUUCUAUGCUUUUAUGUAUGCUUUUUUUUGUUGUUUAUUUUUUUAUUUAAUGCCUGAUUACUCCAAAUGUUACGGCAUAUGAGAUUUAUGUUAUGUUAUGCUGCACUAAUAUAAAAAUAACACAUCGAACCUUUCCAUUCCAUCCAAGAGCUAGUUUCCAAGAAAGAUCGGCUGAACAUACAUAAACAUAAAUAUCGACAUGUUGUGUGGUGGGUGAUGUACAAUGUAUGUUUACAAAGGUCUCGUGAGCCCCUUUCACAUUUCAACAUGGUCACAUCAACUAGCUGAGUUUAUCACCCACGUCAUGUAUGAAAUAUUUUUAUAACAUUCAUGUACAAAUGUUAUGCACCAACUGCUCCUGUGAACAAUAGUCCAUGCAUAUGUUUUCUCUAUUCACAUAUUAAGAUUCAUAUCUAAUCACACUCCUGCUUUGAAGAUUCAGUGCAUGUUUUCCCCACUUCACCACUGACACAGUAAAAAAAGAGUAUUUCUUAUCCUGUAAAUAAAACAAGCUUUCUUUUAUACACAUAGGACCUUUUGUUAAUUUUCCAGUUCAGUACAAAGCAUGUGUGAAAGCAAACAGCAGAGUGAGAGAGACCCUCUUGACACCCUUGAACACGUGCGCUAAAUGGAAGGAUAAUCUCCGCGCUUGCCUAUGAUCAACUCGACCCAACCUGCACAACAGACACAGAAUUAAACUGUGUUCCGAAACUUGACCCUGUUCACGCUGGUAGUAUCAGGACACCUGUGAUGUACUCACUUUGGAUGUUGCAUGUUUUGUUGGUGAUUUGUUCAUACUAUUUUUGUGUCCAGAUUCUGCUCUACGAUAAGAAAGACAACGCGACUGUGGGGGGAACAUAACUGAAAUUAUUAUCGAAAGAUGUAUGCUGACUGUACAAAGAUAUGCUUGUAUAAUCUGUCUGGUUUUCCACUCAAUGUAAACUGAAAAACAAACAAACAAAAAAAAAACUAAUGUCAUGGUUUUUGUGGUUGUACACAAACGGUAUUGAUAAAUUAUGCAAAUUGUGCUGUACAAAAGGCUGUUGCCCUAAAUAGACUAAAUAUUAAAUAAUAUAUGUAAAAUUCUCACAGAGAUUGAGUCUUAUUUAUGAAACAUUUAUUUGAAUGACAAUUGAUUUUGUACCACACUACAAAUAAACUAGAACACACAGAUAGAUAGAUAGAUUAGAUAGAUAGAUAGAUAGAUAGAUAGAGAUUAUUAUCAGAUCUAACCAAAUUGACCACAUGGGAUGCUUCUCAUUACUUCUUUGUGCGUCCUCAUUUCCUUUCCUUGCAUCUUAGCUCCACCC
ensembl:lncRNA